rnacentral:rRNA from 1 species
UUUGAUCCUGGCUCAGGACGAACGCUGGCGGCGUGCUUAACACAUGCAAGUCGAACGGAAAGGCCCAGCUUGCUGGGUACUCGAGUGGCGAACGGGUGAGUAACACGUGGGUGAUCUGCCCUGCACUCUGGGAUAAGCCUGGGAAACUGGGUCUAAUACCGGAUAUGACCAACUGUCGCAUGGUGGUUGGUGGAAAGCUUUUGCGGUGUGGGAUGGGCCCGCGGCCUAUCAGCUUGUUGGUGGGGUAAUGGCCUACCAAGGCGACGACGGGUAGCCGACCUGAGAGGGUGAUCGGCCACACUGGGACUGAGACACGGCCCAGACUCUACGGGAGGCAGCAGUGGGGAAUAUUGCACAAUGGGCGCAAGCCUGAUGCAGCGACGCCGCGUGAGGGAUGACGGCUUCGGGUUGUAAACCUCUUUCACCAGGGACGAAGCGUGAGUGACGGUACCUGGAGAAGAAGCACCGGCCAACUACGUGCCAGCAGCCGCGGUAAUACGUAGGGUGCGAGCGUUGUCCGGAAUUACUGGGCGUAAAGAGGCUCGUAGGCGGUUUGUCGCGUCGUCUGUGAAAUUCUGCAACUCAAUUGCAGGCGUGCAGGCGAUACGGGCAGACUUGAGUACUACAGGGGAGACUGGAAUUCCUGGUGUAGCGGUGAAAUGCGCAGAUAUCAGGAGGAACACCGGUGGCGAAGGCGGGUCUCUGGGUAGUAACUGACGCUGAGGAGCGAAAGCGUGGGUAGCGAACAGGAUUAGAUACCCUGGUAGUCCACGCCGUAAACGGUGGGUACUAGGUGUGGGUUCCUUUUCACGGGAUCCGUGCCGUAGCUAACGCAUUAAGUACCCCGCCUGGGGAGUACGGCCGCAAGGCUAAAACUCAAAGGAAUUGACGGGGGCCCGCACAAGCGGCGGAGCAUGUGGAUUAAUUCGAUGCAACGCGAAGAACCUUACC